UCUCCGUUGGUGAACCAGCGGAGGGAUCAUUACUGGAAUCGCAAGAUCCCACAACCCUGUGAACCUACCGAAACGUUGCCUCGGCGGGUGCCUGGCCCCCGGGCCGGGCGCUGCGCCCGCCGGCGGCCCCCUACUCUGUCUCUGCAGCGUGGCAUCUCAGAGUCCCAGAAAACAAGUCAAAACUUUCAACAACGGAUCUCUUGGCUCUA
rnacentral:misc_RNA from 1 species